UACGUAGGGUGCGAGCGUUAAUCGGAUUUACUGGGCGUAAAGCGUGCGCAGGCGGCCCGUUAAGACAGGUGUGAAAUCCCUGGGCUCAGCCUGGGAAUUGCGCUUGUGACUGGCGGGCUCGAGUACGGUAGAGGGGGGUGGAAUUCCUGGUGUAGCAGUGAAAUGCGUAGAGAUCAGGAGGAACACCGAUGGCGAAGGCAGCCCCCUGGGCCUGUACUGACGCUCAUGCACGAAAGCGUGGGGAGCAAACAGG
rnacentral:rRNA from 1 species